rnacentral:rRNA from 1 species
GACGAACGCUGGCGGCGUGCUUAACACAUGCAAGUCGAACGGAAAGGCCCCUUUUGGGGUACUCGAGUGGCGAACGGGUGAGUAACACGUGAGUAACCUGCCCUUGACUUCGGGAUAACUUCAUGAAACUGGGGCUAAUACCGGCUAGGAAUCCUUUCUGCAUGGUGGGGGUUGGAAAGCUUCGGCGGGUUUGGGUGGACUCGCGGCUUAUCAGCUUGUUGGUGGGGUAGUGGGUUACCAAGGCUUUGACGGGUAGCCGGCCCGGGAGGGGGACCGGCCACAUUGGGGCUGGGAUACGGGCCAGAAUCCUACGGGGGGCAACAGUGGGGGAUAUUGCACAAUGGGCGGGAGCCUGAUGCAGCAACGCCGCGGGCGGGAUGACGGCCUUCGGGUUGUAAACCGGUUUCAGCAGGGGCGAAGCUUGUGGUGACGGUACCUGCAGAAGAAGCACCGGCUAACUACGUG